rnacentral:rRNA from 1 species
UACGUAGGGACCGAGCGUUAUCCGGAUUCAUUGGGCGUAAAGAGCUCGUAGGCGGCUAUUCAAGUCGAACGUGAAAUCUCGGGGCUCAACUCCGGGCCUGCGUUCGAUACUGGGUAGCUAGAGUCUGGUAGGGGGAUCUGGAAUUCCUGGUGUAGCGGUGGAAUGCGCAGAUAUCAGGAGGAACACCGGUGGCGAAGGCGGGAUCCUGGGCCAGUACUGACGCUGAGGAGCGAAAGCGUGGGGAGCAAACAGG